UUUUUAACACAGAUGGACUCCCCAAAUAGAAAUGUUAGGCAGGAAAUAAGCAAUGUUCUGGAGCACCAGGAUGUGAUUUCAUUACAAGGGUAUAUCAAGAGCAUAUGUUAAUUCAAUGUGGCACUAUUAACUCCUAGUGUUAGUCCUAAUGUGCUCUUUGGAUAUAACAUGAGCCAUUGUUUGGAUUCAAUUGUUUUGUAUGGUUGCAUAUUAUAGUAGCAACAGAGCAAUGAAUGACAUCCAGGAUGUUACUGUCAGGUUGGCACAGGCACUGCUGAUACAAUAUGCACCCCCGCCAAAGAUUAAUUAUAUUUAAGAUUUUAUUUUCUCCCCUUUUCCCUACCGUACUUUCCACAGUAUAAGGCGCACCUAAAAACCUCCAAUUUUCUCAAAAGCAGACAGUGCGCCUUAUAAUCCGGUGCGCCUUAUAUAUGGACCAAUAUGGAUUCGUGAAUGAGGACAAACUUAUUAAAGAAAUUAAACAGUGGAGCAGGAAAGGCUGACCAUUCAAUUUAAACUCCCCAAGAAAAGAGGUGAUUUUAAAAGGACCAAUAAAGUCACUCAAGAAUUCCAGAGGUCACCGAGAUGUCUCAGGGCAAAGCCUUUUUACUUGGUUCUUUUUGUUUCUUUAAUGUCAAAUGCUGCUUUCUAAUCUAUGCCAUUAUCAAAAAGCCUCCACACCGGUCCAAAUAUCGAUACCAGUCUAUAUCAGAUUGAUAUUAGCAUCAUGAGGCUGAUUCGGUAGCUUCAGUUUUGUACCCAGUCAGAGAAGGAUAUGGACUUGUUUCUGUCAACACUAAAUUAAAGGUGCAAAAAAUUUUGUUUGUGUCUGUAAUUAAAAAAAGAGUGUCUAGAAUUAAAGAGUUCAAGAUUUAUUUGGGAAAAAAUAUUGUAAGACAGGCAAACUAAUAUCUAACUGACUGCGAGGUGGAAAUGUUGGAAAGCUGCACUGCCUGCUGGUUGCUUUUAGUUCUUGUCUAGGUUUGACUCAAGCACAAGCAAGGCAAGGUGAAUCAACAGACUUUUUUUUCUUGUGCAUUUUUUUGACAGUCUGGAAUACUUUUUUGUUGUGGUUGUGAUGAAACAGCUACAAUAGAGGUUAUAUGAAAAUAGCAAUGGAGAUAUCAAUGGAAUAAACUCAAACUAUUUAGAUCACCUUGGGGUGAGAGAGCCAAAGUUGUGCUAAGUGAAAACAUUUCCACACAUUGCAAUCUUAGCUCCGGCCUCUGCGGCACAAACUGUACAUUUGAGCUUAUCAUGAAGUAUUGCUUUGGUAUGAAUAGCCCAAUAAAGAAAUACACAAACAUUGAAUAAUCCAACAA